CUUGGUCAUUUAGAGGAAGUAAAAGUCGUAACAAGGUCUCCGUUGGUGAACCAGCGGAGGGAUCAUUACCGAGUUUACAACUCCCAAACCCCUGUGAACAUACCUUAUGUUGCCUCGGCGGAUCAGCCCGCGCCCCGUAAAAAGGGACGGCCCGCCGCAGGAACCCUAAACUCUGUUUUUAGUGGAACUUCUGAGUAUAAAAAACAAAUAAAUCAAAACUUUCAACAACGGAUCUCUUGGUUCUGGCAUCGAUGAAGAACGCAGCAAAAUGCGAUAAGUAAUGUGAAUUGCAGAAUUCAGUGAAUCAUCGAAUCUUUGAACGCACAUUGCGCCCGCCAGUAUUCUGGCGGGCAUGCCUGUUCGAGCGUCAUUUCAACCCUCAAGCCCAGCUUGGUGUUGGGAGCUGCAGUCCUGCUGCACUCCCCAAAUACAUUGGCGGUCACGUCGAGCUUCCAUAGCGUAGUAAUUUACACAUCGUUACUGGUAAUCGUCGCGGCCACGCCGUUAAACCCCAACUUCUGAAUGUUGACCUCGGAUCAGGUAGGAAU
rnacentral:rRNA from 1 species